rnacentral:lncRNA from 1 species
CUUAGGUCUUCAUCUCUUUCUGUAGGCAAGAUAUAUAAUCUUUAUUUUUUUCUACCCAUAAAAAUCGAAUUCAUCUUCGAAUGCUGUAUUAUACAAUAGUCAUAGUAGAAAAAGAAUGAGUAGUUGAUUGAUUUUGUCAAUUUGGUGAUUGAUAUCAAAUUGACAUUGAAAUUUGAAAUUUUUAACACAUGCAUGUCCUAGUAUUAAAUUUUUGUUUAGGUGAUAUGUGCCAACUUCACAUAUGAGUUUGACAUGUGAACUCUUAUGGGAUUUUUAAGAGUUCUUAUGUUUGACAAUUAUAUUUGUGGACAACACAUAUGUUCUGUGGCUCCACUGUCAAUCACCCAUUCAUUUCCUAGAUUUACUGUUGAAAUGAAACAGUAAGAAUUCGUACAUGUGUUUUCUAUAUUGUGAAUUGAUGAUGUUUCUUUGUUAGCUUUACCCACAUUUCCUGAAUGUUUGGGCUUUGGUCCAUUCUGUUUCUCUAGAAGUGUCAUUAAUUGAUCUAUUGUAAACCACAAAUCAAAAAAAUAAUAAAAACAAAUAAACUAUCGCAGCAGAGCCGCAGAUGAAAUUGCAACGGAAAUGGAAAAAAAAUAAAGAAAUAAAUCGAAAAGUGCAAACCGAAAUUUCGUAUAGGCGAUCCACGAUUGCUUAAAUCGGUUGCAGUCCACGAUUUCCUUCACCAAAAGACUAUCGCGAUCUGGAUAUUAGAAUUUUCAUCCGUCUGCAAGCAACAAUCUGGAAGUGCGUAUGAAAUCGAAGAUCGGAGCAAACUGCAGCUACUGGGAUGAUCGGAGAUUUGGAACGAUCUGGAAGCGAACUGCGUUGGUCUGAAGCGAACUGCGUUGAUCAGAGAUCUGGAACGAUCAGAAGAUUCGCAAAAUGCGUUGGUCUGCAGCGAACUGUAAGCGCGUCUGUAAAACCCUGCUCUGCACACUGGGUUUUAAUUCUCAUCAAACAAUUAACAUAGAUUCCUCUCAAAGGAAAGUUCACAUUAUGAAGUACUACAACUACUUUGUGUUCGGGGACCUAAUACAAUCUUUAUUACAAAAAAAAAAUAGUCAAUGACACGACUACUUCGCGUCACCCCCUACGCCGACACCUUGACGAGUCCUUUAUCUCCUACCCCUGCAGUUAGGCAAGGUUGCCUCCAUUCCCUGCACAGGUCAUGUACCCGUGAGUGACUACAUCACUCAGCAUGUAAAGUAUAGGUUCCAACAAUUAAUAACAAUAGCAAUUAACAUAAUACAUGUAUAUAUAAUAUUCAAUCUGAUGAUACCAAUCAAUCAUCAUUCAUGCCCCUAAAAAGAUUGGACGGCAACAAGAUACUAGGGAAAUCACUAUAUACAGCAAUAAAAAGAAAUAGAUUAGCUCCUAUGCUAAUCUAACAUGCAUUCCGGUAGUACUUUUCAUCACCUAGAGUAAAACGAUAAGAGUAUAGACCCCUAAUAAAAUGGACAGCAAGGAUUUUAAAACACUAAGGCUGUAAAAACACUAAACAACAAUUUUAAAAUGGCAGCAAAUACAAUAUAGACAUUCAUAGCGUAGAGGUAGCAAUCCUUCAUCACUUAAAUUAACCAAUCUGAUACCGAUCUAUCGGAAUUCUAAUUUGAGGGAACGAGUUCACCUGAAAAGAUUGGGGCUUCAGAUUCGUAAUAGAGAUUACGAGUGUCCGAAGCUGAAAGCAGCGGGGUUAUACCCCUGAAAUUGAGGCUUAGCCUCCCUAGAGAUCGCUGUUAAGC